CAGCCGCCGCGGGAAUACGAACCGUGCGAACGUUAUUCGGAAUUACUGGGCUUAAAGCGCGUGUAGGCGGCUCGGCACGUCCGGAACUGAAAUCCCCCGGCUCAACCGGGGAGGGUCAUUGGAAACUGGGAAACUUGAGUGCAGAAGAGGAGAGUGGAAUUCCACGUGUAGCGGUGAAAUGCGUAGAGAUGUGGAGGAACACCAGUGGCGAAGGCGACUCUCUGGUCUGUAACUGACGCUGAGGAGCGAAAGCGUGGGGAGCGAACAGGAUUAGAUACCCCUGUAGUCCCUGUCUCUUAUU
rnacentral:rRNA from 1 species